GAACUUUGGGAGCGCGUAUGUGUGUGCGUGUGUUUUUUAAUGAAUGGGAGUACCAAGAGUGAAUGAAUCUUAGUGCACCUUGCGCCGAUUGGCUCCGAGCCUCCAAGCCACGCCUUAUCCCGACUGGUAGCAAGCCACGCCGGGCCUUGAUUGGUUGGGCGUGCCCCAGCCGAGCCAAGGGAAUUCCUCCUCCCCUCCUGUGCCUCCAUUCACAAAGUCAAUGAAACAAAGAGAAACAGAAAAAGAGUCUGUUUCUGUGAAAGAGGAAACGAGUCCAGGCUUGGAGGCGGGAGCGACUUUCCUUGGCUGUAUCCCACAAGAAGUAGCGUCUGCUUCUUAAUCCGAGUUCAGUUGCCUUGCGGUGGGGGCCGAAGGGGAAGACUUGAAUUGACCGGCCUUUCCCCCCACCCCACUUUCAGGCCUUGCUGUUUGCCCUCCAUGCCUUUGCGGAAUUCACACCCAUGACUGAUGGGAGGAUGAAAGGAUAUUUGGACCAGCAAGUGCCUUACACGUCUGCACAGAAACCAUCAGGAAAUGGAUCUCUGGAGGGCAGAGUUGUGAUGGCUGUGCGGAGCAAAUCCAUGGACAUGGGUGUGCCCCAUGUCCCAGAUGCAGAAGGUUUGUGUGCUUGUGUGUGUUUGGGGGGCGGGGGUUGAAAGAGAUGGGAUGGCUAAGAUACAGGGAUCCCUUAGCCAGAUCAACCAUGAAGUUUCUUGUGCUCAAAUGGUAGGAUCCUAAUAUGGUACAUUUCCUGGAAACUUGAGCAUAAGAGCAUUUAAAUGCAGCUGUUUCCAUUUCACAAACUGAGGAAUUGAGGCUGGGAAAGCAUCAUGGUCACAUCAGCUUUUACGGGUUAAGCUUGAGACUUUUGUAUAGGACGGGAUAGAAAUGUCCCACAUAAAUAAAUAAACAAGAUUCCCUGACUUCAGCAAUCAAUACUUCAUCCACUAGACCAGCUUUCCCCAAUCUGCUCACCAUUAGGUAUGCACGUACGUACAUACGUAUGUAUGUAUGUGUUUAUUUAUUUCAUUCCACUUCUAUGCUGCCCCAUAACCCAAGGAUUCUCUGGGCGGCUUACAAAUACAUACAUUA
rnacentral:lncRNA from 1 species